rnacentral:rRNA from 1 species
UACAGAGGUGGCAAGCGUUGUUCGGAAUUACUGGGCGUAAAGGGCGCGUAGGCGGCCUUCUAAGUCAGACGUGAAAUCCCCAGGCUUAACUUGGGAACUGCGUCUGAUACUGGGGGGCUUGAAUGCGGGAGAGGGAUGUGGAAUUCCAGGUGUAGCGGUGAAAUGCGUAGAUAUCUGGAGGAACACCGGUGGCGAAAGCGCUCUGCUAGGCCGUAACUGACACUGAGGGACGAAAGCUAGGGGAGCGAAUGGG